UACAGAGGGCGCGAGCGUUGUCCGGAAUCACUGGGCGUAAAGGGCGCGUAGGCGGUUUGUACAGUCAGAUGUGAAAUUCCUGGGCUCAACCUGGGGGCUGCAUUUGAUACGUAUGGACUGGAGUGAGGAAGAGGGUCGUGGAAUUCCCAGUGUAGAGGUGAAAUGCGUAGAUAUUGGGAGGAACACCAGUGGCGAAGGCGGCUCACUGGACCGGAACUGACGCUGAGGCGCGAAAGCGUGGGGAGCAAACGGG
rnacentral:rRNA from 1 species